CCUACGGAGGCAGCAGUAGGGAAUAUUGCGCAAUGGGGGAAACCCCGAAGCAGCAACGCCGCGUGGAGGAUGAAGGUUUUCGGAUUGUAAACUCCUUUUGUUAGAGAAGACAAUGACGGUAUCUAACGAAUAAGCACCGGCUAACUCCGUGCCAGCAGCCGCGGUAACACGGAGGGUGCAAGGGUUAUUCGGAAUCACUGGGCGUAAAGGGGGCGUAGGCGGGAUAGCAAGUCAGAUGUGAAAUCCUAUGGCUUAACCAUAGAACUGCAUUUGAAACUGUUAUUCUAGAGUAUGGGAGAGGUAGGUGGAAUUCUUGGUGUAGGGGUAAAAUCCGUAGAGAUCGAGAGGAAUACUCAUUGCGAAGGCGACCUGCUAGAACAUAACUGACGCUGAUGCGCGAAAGCGUGGGGAGCAAACAGGAUUAGAUACCCGUGUAGUC
rnacentral:rRNA from 1 species